UGGGUCUGUGAUGACCACUGGUGGCAUAUGAUUCGUGGAUCAUGAUUACAGGUCUGGAAGUCUGAGGUCCAC
ensembl:snoRNA small nucleolar RNA SNORD113/SNORD114 family